rnacentral:rRNA from 1 species
AGCGAACGCAGGCGGCAGGCUUAACACAUGCAAGUCGAGCGGGCAUCUUCGGGUGUCAGCGGCGGACGGGUGAGUAACGCGUGGGAACGUGCCUUCUGGUUCGGAAUAACUCAGGGAGACUUGAGCUAAUACCGGAUACGCCCUUUUGGGGAAAGGUUUACUGCCGGAAGAUCGGCCCGCGUCUGAUUAGCUAGUUGGUGGGGUAACGGCCUACCAAGGCGACGAUCAGUAGCUGGUCUGAGAGGAUGAUCAGCCACACUGGGACUGAGACACGGCCCAGACUCCUACGGGAGGCAGCAGUGGGGAAUAUUGGACAAUGGGGGCAACCCUGAUCCAGCCAUGCCGCGUGAGUGAUGAAGGCCUUAGGGUUGUAAAGCUCUUUUAUCCGGGACGAUAAUGACGGUACCGGAGGAAUAAGCCCCGGCUAACUUCGUGCCAGCCGCCGCAGUAA